rnacentral:rRNA from 1 species
UACAGAGGGUGCGAGCGUUAAUCGGAAUUACUGGGCGUAAAGCGUGCGUAGACGGUCAAGUAAGUCGGGUGUGAAAGCCCCGGGCUCAACCUGGGAAUUGCAUUCGAGACUGCGUGGCUAGGGUGCGGAAGAGGGAAGCGGAAUUUCCGGUGUAGCGGUGAAAUGCGUAGAGAUCAGGAGGAACACCGAUGGCGAAGGCAGGUCUCUGGGCCACUA